CGUGCCUAUUGAAGAAUGAGCCAACGAGUUAAUGCAUGCGGCAUAUGCCUAAGGAGAAUACCUCCGGAGGCGCAGCGAAAGCGAGUGUGAAUAGCGCGAUAGUCGUACGCAUUAGACCCGAAGCCAGGUGAGCUUGCCAUGGGCAGGGUGAACUCCGACGAAAGUCGGAGGGAGGCCCGAACCAGUUGGUCGUGCAAUUCCUUUGGAUGACCUGUGGUAAGGAGUGAAAAGCUAAUCGAACCUGGUAAUAGCUGGUUUUCUCCGAAAGAGCUUUUGGGUUCGCGUCGUGUGUUCCUUAUGGGGGUAGAGCACUGGAAGGUCUCGACAGGGAGAAAUCUCGCGAGACCUAUCAAACUCCGAAUACCAUAAGUUAAAACACGGCAGUUAGACGGCGGGGGCUAAGCUCCGUUCGUCAAAAGGGAAACAGCCCUUGAUCUCAAUUUAAGGUCCCUAAAUCAUAGUUAAGUGCACUUAAGGUGGUGAAAUUUCUCCGACAAUGAGGAGGUUGGCUUAGAAGCAGCCACCCUUUAAAGAAAGCGUAACAGCUCACUCAUUCAGAGAUUUUGCGCCGAAGAUAAUCGGGGCUAAACUAUGUACCGAAACUGAGGGUUUCUACUUUCUUCGGAAAGUGGGAGCGGUAGGAGAAUAUUCGUAUCUAGCAGUGAAGCGGAAGGGGUGACCCACCGUGGAGCGUUACGAAGUAAGAAUGUUGGCACAAGUAACCGCAUUGCUGGUUAAAGCCCAGCACGCCGAAAGACUAAGGUUUCCUUUCCGAUGUCAAUCAGGGAAGGGUUAGUCGGGCCUAAGGGGAUGGCGAUAGCCGCACCCGAUGGAUAGUGGGUUAAUAUUCCCACACUUGUUUAUAUUUCGAUGGAGUGACGGAGUGCAGUAUGCAAAGCACAUUAUUGGAUUUGGGUUUGUGCAGUAAGAAUGUGGUGUAGGAAAAUCCGCACCGCUCUGUUUGAUCAGAAAUUCAAGCUGUACAGCAAUCUGAGGCUACGGCCGAGGAGAGUUUGCAAAGCGCGCUUCCAAGAAAACCUUCUAAGAUUAUGUAUAGACAAACCGUACCGUAAACCGACACAGGUAGUCAGGUCGAGAAGACCAAGGCGAACGAGUGAGAGGUCCUCAAGGAACUCGGCAAAAAAGCGGCCGUAACUUCGGGAUAAGGCCUGCCCCCGCUCAGCGGGGGCCGCAGCUAAAGUAUCUCUGGCGACUGUUUAUCAAAAACACAGCUCCCUGCGAACUCGUAAGAGGAUGUAUAGGGGGUGACACCUGACCAAUGCCAGAAGGUCAAAUAUUGGCGGUAUGUAUCAUGUUGCACAUGAUAGUAGCAAGCAUUUAGUAUCUAGUAGCUAGGAAAAAACCUGAAUGCUAGAUGCUGUUGCCUGGCUACUGCAUCGCGCGCAGCGUGAUGCAUGCUGACUGAUAUAAGCCCUGGUGAAUGUCGGCGAUAACUAUAAUCGUCCUAAGGUAGCGAAAUACCUUGUGGGGUAAGUUCCCACGCGCACGAAUGGUGUAACGACUGGAGAACUGUCUCGAGGACUUGCUCGGUGAAAAUACAAUACCGGUGAAGAUGCCGGUUACCUGCAGUUAGACGAAAAGACCCCGGAAGCUUUACUGUAACUUGGCAUUGAGGGUAUGUUUUUACUGCGUAGCAUAGGUGGGAGGAUUUGAAGCAUCUCUUUUGGGAGGUGUGGAUCCGUCAGUGAAAUACCACUCUGUAUUGACAUACUUUCUAACCCGACUGCAAAAACAGUCGGAGACAGUGUCUGGUGGGCAGUUUUAGUGGGGCGCUAUCCUUGACUACGUCAUAUUUAUUAUGGUGUAGUCAAGCCAUGGCGCCUCCUAGGUGGUUCACGCUAAAAACAAAUAAAUAAGGGGGCACGAUUAAGUUCGUGGGCAGUGGGAAUAUGCUGGAAAAACCGAGUAUGGUAUAAUAC
rnacentral:rRNA from 1 species